rfam:Nicotiana sylvestris Nsyl_contig105720, whole genome shotgun sequence.
AUACCAUGAUGUGGGCAUUUUCUUAACAUUGCUUCUAAUCUUUCCUAUGCCUGGUAUACAAAUUCAAUAUUCGUAUGCAUAAAAUUAUUGAUUUCUUGCUUCAUUUU